rnacentral:rRNA from 1 species
AGAGUUUGAUCAUGGCUCAGAAUCAACGCUGGCGGCGUGCCUAACACAUGCAAGUCGAACGAGAAAGUGGAGCAAUCCAUGAGUAAAGUGGCGACCGGGUGAGUAACACGUGACUAUCCUACCUUUCGAGUGGGGGAUAACCUCGGGAAACCGGGGUUAAUACCGCAUAACAUCUUUGGAGUGGAAACUCUGGAGAUCAAAGGAGCAAUUCGCUGGAAGAGGGGGUCGCGGCUGUUUAGUUAGUUGGCGGGGUAACGGCCCACCAAGGCUUAGAUCGGUAGCCGGCCUGAGAGGGCGCACGGCCACACUGGAACUGAAACACGGUCCAGACUCCUACGGGAGGCAGCAGUGGGGAAUUUUGCGCAAUGGGGGAAACCCUGACGCAGCAACGCCGCGUGGAGGAUGAAGUCCCUUGGGACGUAAACUCCUUUCGACCCGGACGAUAAUGACGGUACGGGUGGAAGAAGCCCCGGCUAACUUCGUGCCAGCAGCCGCGGUAAUACGAGGGGGGCAAGCGUUGUUCGGAAUUAUUGGGCGUAAAGGGCGCGUAGGCGGUGCGGUAAGUCACCUGUGAAACCUAUAGGCUCAACCUAGAGCCUGCAGGCGAAACUGCCGUGCUUGAGGGUGGGAGAGGUGCGUGGAAUUCCCGGUGUAGCGGUGAAAAGCGUAGAUAUCGGGAGGAACACCUGUGGUGAAAGCGGCGCACUGGACCACAUCUGACGUUGAGGCGCGAAAGCUAGGGGAGCAAACAGGAUUAGAUACCCUGGUAGUCCUAGCCCUAAACGAUGGAUGCUUGGUGUGAUCGGUUGGCGUCUUAUUGUGCCGUAGAUAACGCGUUAAACACCCCGGGGGGACACCAUCGCAAGGCUUAAACUCUGCCGAAUUGACGG